GACGAACGCUGGCGGCGUGCUUAACACAUGCAAGUCGAACGGUAAGGCCCUUCGGGGUACACGAGUGGCGAACGGGUGAGUAACACGUGGGUGAUCUGCCCUGCACUUCGGGAUAAGCCUGGGAAACUGGGUCUAAUACCGGAUAGGACCCUGGGAUGCAUGUCCUGGGGUGGAAAGCUUUUGCGGUGUGGGAUGGGCCCGCGGCCUAUCAGCUUGUUGGUGGGGUGAUGGCCUACCAAGGCGACGGCGGGUAGCCGGCCUGAGAGGGUGACCGGCCACACUGGGACUGAGAUACGGCCCAGACUCCUACGGGAGGCAGCAGUGGGGAAUAUUGCACAAUGGGUGCAAGCCUGAUGCAGCGACGCCGCGUGAGGGAUGACGGCCUUCGGGUUGUAAACCUCUUUCAGCACCGACGAAGCGCAAGUGACGGUAGGUGCAGAAGAAGGACCGGCCAACUACGUGCCAGCAGCCGCCGUAA
rnacentral:rRNA from 1 species